CCCUUAGAUGUCCUGGGCUGCACGCGCGCUACACUGAUGCGUCCAAUAAGCACCUAACCUAAUCCGAAGGGACCGGGUAACCUUAGCAAAGCGCAUCGUGAUGGGGAUAGAUUAUUGCAAUUAUUAGUCUUGAACGAGGAAUUCCUAGUAAGCACAAGUCAUCAGCUUGUGUUGAUUACGUCCCUGCCCUUUGUACACACCGCCCGUCGCUCCUACCGAUUGAAUGUUCCGGUGAGCUCUUCGGACUGCGCGGUCUGCAGUUUCUGCGUUCCGUGCGGAAAGUUGCGCAAACCUUAACAUUUAGAGGAAGGAGAAGUCGUAACA
rnacentral:rRNA from 1 species